UAUGUGUUGUGUUCCGGGGUUCUUUGUUUUCCUUGUGGGAGUCUGCUUGCUGCUUCUCACCAUCUAGCCACCAGAUGGCGCCAGACCCACCUCUCUCUGGAGUGGUGUGUUGUCAUCCUGCGCACCUGUGGUCAAUCUGCUCGUCAGGCAAGGUGUACAAGAGAAACUGACUGCCAGUACUUCGAUGCCUGAGUGUUAGCCAGUAACGUUCCUCCUGGAUGUUCUGACUGGCAGUCGUGCCACUCCUCUGUCUCUGUUCUGCCUGAACCUACCUGUCCGCCCUCCGACAACACUCCCUCGCAGCCAUCUGGAUCUCUGUGGCUAAGCGCUGUUCCUCCUGGACCACAAGGAAACAAGGACCCCGAGCACUGCAGUUAUCCCUCCAAAUCUACAAACUCCUGUUCAACAAGUAAGAUUAUUCCAAUUGACUGUCAUCACUCCCGUCUCCUAUACCCUGUGAACUCACCGUCUUCUUGCUGUGUUCUUUAUAGUGUGCCGACCACUCCGUGAGCCUUUCCCCCCCUGGAUAGACCCGUUAUCUUCAGUGCAUUCAAUCAUUGCUGUUGUAAUAAAUUCACUUACACUAUA